UAAGUUUUGUUCAUAGAGCUAGCGGUAGCCCACGUUUAGCUCAGAGAGUGGAGAAGGCGUUAGCGGUCCUGGUUCAAAACCUCCCAGCAACAGAAUGUUUUGAGCAGACACCUCAGCUUUUUUGCCUCUUUUCAGCAGACCAUUUGCAGCUACACGGCAGUCACUACUUUACAUCCUUUCUUUUUUGGUGGAUACCAGUGCUUGCAGAGAUCUUCACCAGCAGCUCCCUGACAAGGAAAUCUUCCGAACUCCACUGUAGGCACGGCCCAGAAGAUGGAUAAACCCAGCAUUUCAUGAACACACUGGAACCAAUCUAUCUUCAUAACAGAAUGUUUUUCUAAACAUGGAGAUAAAAGAUGGAAGAAACCGAUCUGAAUUUCCCAUCUCCUGCCUCCGAUGAUCACUGUGACCUCAGAGGGCAACUGGUCUGCGAAGCUGGAACUGGAGUGAGGGAGAGAGGAUUCAUCAUCCAGCUUGAAAGAAAAC